rnacentral:rRNA from 1 species
CGCUGGCGGCACGCCUUAUACAUGCAAGUCGAACGAAGUAGCAAUACUUAGUGGCAGACGGGUGAGUAACAUGUAGGUAUCUUCCCUUUGGUGAGGAAUAACACGAGGAAACUUGUGCUAAUACCUCAUAAGUCUUUACGGAGAAAGCUUUAUGCGCCGAAGGAUGAGCCUGCACUUGAUUAGUUUGUUGGUGGGGUAAUGGCCUACCAAAACUUUGAUCAAUAGCUGAUCUGAGAGGAUGAUCAGCCACAUUGGGACUGAGACACGGCCCAAACUCCUACGGGAGGCAGCAGUAGGGAAUAUUGCACAAUGGAGGAAACUCUGAUGCAGCGAUGCCGCGUGAGUGAAGAAGGCCUUUGGGUUGUAAAGCUCUUUCGUCGGGGAAGAAAAUGACUGUACCCGAAUAAGAAGGUCCGGCUAACUUCGUGCCAGCAGCCGCGGUAAUACGAAGGGACCUAGCGUAGUUCGGAAUUACUGGGCUUAAAGAGUUCGUAGGUUGUUAAAAAAGUUGGUGGUGAAAUCCCAGAGCUUAACUCUGGAACUGCCAUCAAAACUUUUUAGCUAGAGUGUGAUAGAGGAAAGUAGAAUUUCUAGUGUAGAGGUGAAAUUCGUAGAUAUUAGAAAGAAUACCAAUUGCGAAGGCAGCUUUCUGGAUCAUUACUGACACUGAGGAACGAAAGCAUGGGUAGCGAAGAGGAUUAGAUACCCUCGUAGUCCAUGCCGUAAACGAUGUGUGUUAGACGUUGGAAAUUUAUUUUCAGUGUCGCAGCGAAAGCAUUAAACACACCGCCUGGGGAGUACGACCGCA